rnacentral:rRNA from 1 species
UACGUAGGCGGAAGAUUAAGUCAGUGGUGAAAUCCUGCAGCUUAACUGUAGAACUGUCAUUGAUACUGGUUUUCUUGAAUAUAGUUGAGGUAGGCGGAAUGUGUAAUGUAGCGGUGAAAUGCUUAGAUAUUACACAGAACACCGAUUGCAAAGGCAGCUUACUAAGCUAUGAUUGACGCUGAGGUACGAAAGCGUGGGGAGCGAACAGGAUUAGAUACCCUGGUAGUCC